CUUAGAGAAACUUGGGCCAGGCAGGCAAGGCAAUAUAUCCAUGUGUGUGGCGUGUGAAUCCCAGGGCGCUUCUCCUUUGGCACGGAGGCAUGCAUGUACUGAUGGUAGGAGUUGGCCAGGUGAAGAAGCUCCAGGCCGAUCAGUGCGUGCAGCUAGCCAGCCGCGUCGUGCGUGCCAAAGGAGAAUUGCCCUGCGAUUCACCUCAGCUGCUCUGCGAUGCUGAUCUGUGACUGCCUUUGAACCAAUCUGCGUCUACGAUGCGUCCACGAGGCAAAUCCCGCAAUGCAAGUUAUUUUCAGAGCUACGGCAUGGAUCUGUACGUGGUCCUUACUCACCCCUGCAGACUCCAGGAAACCUUUGGUUACUAGGUUUGGAUGGUGGUCUUAUAAUAGGAUAAGCGUUUAAUGAUCUUGUCCUAUUAUCUUGCCGGCUGUGGCAAUGAAUUUUUAUUUCUCCUUUUGCUUCGUUUGCGAGCUGUAAUGGAUCCAAGACUAUGUUUUUAUUCAAUUUUUUUAAUAA